rfam:Eubacterium sp. 68-3-10 unitig_0:quiver, whole genome shotgun sequence.
UCCAUCGUGAGGUGGAAUCUGAAGGAAGCCGGAUGUGGGGAAAAUACUAACCCAUGGGCAAACCUCUGGCCUGACGAACAGAAAUCGCAUAUGAGGCUCUGUAUGAGGAUAAGGCCGCUAAACAGGUCAAAGUCCAAUUACUGCACGGAAUCAUGCAGUGUAAAUGCGGCAGGUAGAUGGAGGAAAAGAACGUGUG